ensembl:lncRNA
AAAGGGAAAAAGUACGAAAGGGAAAGACAGGCAGGAAGGAAGGGAUGUUAUAUCUCGCACUCUUUAAAAGUAAAAAAUAGAAAAUAAAGACCUUGUCCUGUUUGUAGGUGUAAAGUGAGAGCGAGAGAGAUCAGUGUGUUGAAUAAUUGCAAACAAUAGGUGGUGAAAAAUAGAGGAAACGUUCUCGGAAGCCACCACCUCAUUGUAGAAAUCCCCGCACCAAAUCCAGGCUUCCUUUAACCAGCCUCCUCCUGGUGACAAAUGCCACGCUGUGAUUGGUUAAUGGCUUUCUUCUGAGUGGCAGCCAUCCUAUGGGGUCGUCUAAACCGAGGAAAAUGGAAGGGGAGUGAAAGGCGCCAAUCUGUACGACUAAUGAGAUAUCGGAGCUGACAUCUUUGUGGUUUUGGUUGCGGUCCCCACAUGGUUGGAUAAAAUUGAAUAACU